GUCAGGUGUGGUGGUGCAUGCCUGUAGUCCCAGCUACUUGGGAGGCUGAGGUGGGAGGAUCACUUGAGUCUGGGAGGUCGAGGCUGCAGUGACCCGUGAUUGCACCACUGUACUCCAGCCUGGACGACAGAGUGAGAUCCUGCCUCUA
rnacentral:SRP_RNA from 1 species